GUAACAGGUUUCCGUAGGUGAACCUGCGCAAGGAUCAUUAUUGAAUUUUGAAAAGAGGUUGUAGCUGAUCGUAAUAGAUAUGUGCACACCUUGUUUCCAAAUAUUACACCAUGUGCACUUUUUGUAGGCCAAGAAAUUGGUCUAUGUUUUUAAUACUAUACCCCAAGAGUUUAGAAUGUUAUUAUCAAUAAGCUUUGCUUAAAAUUAAUACAACUUUCAACAACGGAUCUCUUGGCUCUCGCAUCGAUGAAGAACGCAGCGAAAUGCGAUAAGUAAUGUGAAUUGCAGAAUUCAGUGAAUCAUCGAAUCUUUGAACGCACCUUGCGCUCCUCGGUAUUCCGAGGAGCAUGCCUGUUUGAGUGUCAUGGAAUUCUCAACCGUGUCUCGAUCUGAUCUCGAGGCAUGGCUUGGACUUGGGAGUUGCUGGCGGGCCUCGUCAGCUCUCCUCAAAUGCAUUAGCGACGUUCGGCGAGCCUGACGUGCACGGCCUUUUUUCGACGUGAUAACGAUCGUCGUGGGCUGGAGCGGUAGGGCGAGCGGUGAAUCGCUUCCAAUUCCUUAGACUUUUGGUCCUUCAUCGAGAAAUAGACUUGAGCCCUAAGCCUCAGUUACUAGUCACUGACGAACGCGAGGCUCCAAGUUCGAAAUUUCACUUUGAAAGGAUCAAUCCAUGGUCUUUUCGAUCUCGAUCUCGACGGGGGGGAACUUUGACCUUCGAGAGACCUAAGCCUUAGUUACUAGUCGGUCGUGAGCCCGACGAACGCGCAGGGCCUAGGUUUGAAACCUUGAAGCAAUUGUAAUUCUCUCGGUCUCGAUCCUCGAUCCUUUGAACUCUUGACCUCAAAUCAGGAGGAC
rnacentral:rRNA from 1 species